rnacentral:tRNA from 1 species
GCCGUGAUGGUGUAGUGGUUGCAUACCUGGUUGGGUUUGGGCACGCGGUCAUUCGCUUAACGUGGUCCCGCGAUAUCAGGAGGUGGCAGGUUCGAAUCCUGCUCAUGGUA